AGCUAAAACAAGAUAUUUAACAAAAUUCAAAUGUGGUGCAAUAGGUGAAUUGUACGGCACUGUGCAGAGGUGAAAUGGAGUGUUACAUAGAGGGGGUCGAGUUGCGUAGUGAGAGACCGGCCAGACUGUAUAAAAGAAGACGCGCUACACAUACGAAUCAUUCUUUUUUUGUUCCAGCAGCAUAAGGUACAAGCAGCAGACAAUUGGAUGCGUUGCUUCUUUCAGCUCUACUUUAUUUUUUCAACGCAUUUAUCUUUUUUUCAGAUCUUCUUCACUUAUUUAAUUUACAAAUAUUAAAAAAAACAUGGACAACAUCUAUGAAUCCGAUGAUGAGAUUGAGAUAUACGGAAGUCAAGGAUCAACCAUAAUCAUUGACAGCGAAGAUGAUGAUGAUUUAUUCAAUGGAAUAAUAUAUAAUAAGGUCGACGUUUACAUGCCAUUGACUGAUGACUUUUUCUUCGAUUACGAUUUCGAUGGUAUUAGAGAUGAUGAUGAGAGUUAUGAAAGUGAGGAGAGUGCUGAAAGUGCGGAGAGUGGCGAGAGUGCCGAGAGCGCAAAAAAUGAAGAUGUUGAUGACGAUGUUUUAAUCAUUGACUUUAGCGAUGAAGAGAUAUCGGAACUUUUAGCAUCUGUGUCAAAUGUAAAUGAGAUUUUUGAUGACAUAGAUUGGACAACACCCACUGCACCACCACCGCCACCAUCCUCACCAACGAACUCAUCGGCUUAAUGCAUAAAAAAUUACUACUACACAAAUAUUUCUACAUAAAUAUUUGGUAGAAAUAAAAUUGUUUCAUAUAAAGGUAACCAACUUUCUCACAUGAAAAUUAAUACCUUUCAUUUAAAAAUGAUUAUAAUGUUUAAAUACUGGGUGUGGUAAACCCAAUUAUGAGUGUGCGCAUAAGUAUUUAUAAAAUUAUGCGUGCGCAUAUGAAGAGUGGGGAAAAAGAAUGAAAGAGGAUGGGGUUGUAUAGUGAUAUAUGGCGGUGUAAAGAAGAGAAGCUCAUUUCUGUUUCAGCGCUUCAAGUUAACCUACAACAUUAAGCAGCUCUUUCAAAAAUGGACCUCACCAAGGUGAAUGCAGUUGGACGAUUGGAGGGUUUCCUGCCAACCAAACCAUUAUCAGAAUUGGAUGUGAAUAGCCAAUACUUUAUCACCAAAAUAAAGAAAAUUCAGACAAAAUAUGGACCCAGGAUCAUCGUUGAACUAGAGACUAGACGCUGACUUUAUAUCUUAUCUUCCAACGAGAUUCAUUAAAUAUUUCGAAGAAGAAGCUGAAACUUUCAAAAUGAUGCAGGAAGCUGCCUCUUUAAAGCAGCUACAAUUGAAAUACCAAGGAGGAACCUACAA